rnacentral:rRNA from 1 species
UGGGGAAUAUUGCACAAUGGAGGGAACUCUGAUGCAGCGACGCCGCGUGAGUGAUGAAGGACUUCGUUUCGUAAAACUCUGUUCUAUGGGAAGAAAAGGACUGUACCAUAGGAGAAAGCUCCGGCUAAAUACGUGCCAGCAGCCGCGGUAAUACGUAUGGAGCGAGCGUUGUCCGGAAUUAUUGGGCGUAAAGGGUGCGCAGGCGGCUUUACAAGUUGGAUGUGAAAUAUUGUGGCUCAACCACAAACGUGCAUCCAAAACUGCAAAGCUUGAGUUAAGGAGAGGGAAGUGGAAUGCCUGGUGUAGCGGUGGAAUGCGUAGAUAUCAGGAGGAAUACCGGUGGCGAAGGCGACUUACUGGACUUAAACUGACGCUCAGGCACGAAAGCGUGGGGAGCAAACAGG